CUAAAAGUAAAUUUUGGCAAAGCACGAAGAGCCAUGAGAAAAUGAAAAAGGGCAAGUGGAGAAAGUCCAGCCCAGACCCAACCCUCAGACCUAUAAAUGCCCUUCAACAUUUAUAAAAUACUACAUAUUUCUAUUACAAUAAAACCACAAAACCCAGCAAUCAGAGGCACACUCACAAAAAGGGGGAUGUAAAGGAGGAAUACAGAUGUUCCAGGGAACAUCUGCUGGACAUAUAUCUAUUUUAGAGUAUCUGUGGCUCUGACAGAAAAUGGAGAACAAUGAAGCUUUGACUGUGUAUAAAACAUGUGAAUUGUGAAUACUUUCUUCUAGCCUUUAGGAAAGGAUACACGAUGAGUAGGUGUGAUAAGAAAGAACAGGGAAUCAUGACUAGGGAACCUUGCAUCUCCUUGAGCAAUGCUGCUUGGUCUUUGGGCCUGUUAACAUCUCCUAGCAGAUCACAUUGUUUGCUGCCUGCUUCUUCUACACAGCUGCUUCUUUCCCAGGAGGCUGCCUGAGCCAGGUGUGGAGAAAGAAAGGUCAUCACUCCCGUGAGUAAACAGAGAACAGCAGAAUGAAAUGUGAGAGGUUGUGUUGCAAAGUGACAUUUUUUGGAAGGGCUACUGUAUGUAAUGAGGGUCUGCAGAGAGUUCAGGUACUGAAAGGCCGCUCUCAGCCUGUCCUCACAGGGAGGCGUCCCAUCCCUUGGGCCUACAGAAUACACCUGCUGAGUUAUUCUAAAUGAGGAAGAGGAUGGUACUCCUGAUUGCAAUGUGCAGGCUCAUUCUGGAGAAGAUGCUUCACACCUCACACCAAGCUGUAUGCUGUAAUGCACAGAAGUCUGUUCCUCAGUGGAACCACACCACUUAUUUAGUCCCUUCCAUGUGUGCCACCACGUCCUUCCUGCGCCGGGGCCCAGACCUGGGUGCACUACUCCAGACGGGCCGUGCCGGGCCAAGAGCAGAGCGGAGCAGAGGAGACCAUCCGCUCACUGCCUCACUGCCGCCCGUCUGCUGACGCAGCCCAGGGCGCCGCAGG
rnacentral:lncRNA from 1 species